rnacentral:rRNA from 1 species
GACGAACGCUGGCGGCGUGCCUAAUACAUGCAAGUUGAGCGCUGAAGACUGGUACUUGUACCGGUUGGAUGAGCAGCGAACGGGUGAGUAACGCGUGGGUAAUCUGCCCUAUAGAGGGGGAUAACUAGAGGAAACUUUAGCUAAUACCGCAUAACAUCUCAUAACACAUGUUAUGAGAUUGAAAGUGCCAAUUGGUACACUAUAGGAUGGACCCGCGUUGUAUUAGCUAGUUGGUGAGGUAAUAGCUCACCAAGGCGAUGAUACAUAGCCGACCUGAGAGGGUGAUCGGCCACACUGGGACUGAGACACGGCCCAGACUCCUACGGGAGGCAGCAGUAGGGAAUCUUCGGCAAUGGACGAAAGUCUGACCGAGCAACGCCGCGUGAGUGAAGAAGGUUUUCGGAUCGUAAAACUCCGUUGUAAGAGAAGAACACCAGUAAGAGUGGAAAGCUUACUGGCUGACGGUAUCUUACCAGAAAGCCACGGCUAACUACGUGCCAGCCGCCGCAGUAACAC